ensembl:snRNA U6 U6 spliceosomal RNA
GUGCUUGCUUCGGCAGCACAUAUACUAAAAUUGGAACGAUACAGAGAAGAUUAGCCUGGCUCCUGCAUAAGGAUGACACGCAAAUUUGUGAAGCGUUCCAUAUUUUU